GAGUUUGAUCCUGGCUCAGAACGAACGCUGGCGGCGUGUCUUAAGCAUACAAGUUGAGCGGCAAGGGGUAGCAAUACCCCCUAGAGCGGCGGACUGGUGAGUAACGCAUGGGUGAUCUGCCCUUGGGAUGGGGAUAGCCACUAGAAAUAGUGGGUAAUACCGAAUACGUUCACACUUUCGGAGGUGUGAGGAAAAGCGCUUCGGCGCUGCCCGAGGAUGAGCCCGUGUCCCAUUAGCUAGUUGGUGAGGUAACGGCCCACCAAGGCGAUGAUGGGUAGGCGGCCUGAGAGGGUGUACGCCCACAUUGGGACUGAGAUACGGCCCAAACUCCUACGGGAGGCAGCAGCUAAGAAUAUUCCGCAAUGGACGAAAGUCUGACGGAGCGACGCCGCGUGGAUGAUGAAGGCCGAAAGGUUGUAAAGUCCUUUUGCUGGGGAAGAAUAACCAUGGGAGGGAAUGCCCGUGGGAUGACAUGAACCGGCGAAUAAGCCCCGGCUAACUACGUGCCAGCAGCCGCGGUAACACGUAGGGGGCGAGCGUUGUUCGGAAUUACUGGGCGUAAAGGGCAUGUAGGCGGCUUGGUAAGCCUGGCGUGAAAGUCACCGGCUCAACCGGUGGAUUGCGUUGGGUACUGCUGAGCUUGAAUCACGGAGAGGGAGCUAGAAUUCCAGGUGUAGGGGUGAAAUCUGUAGAGAUCUGGAAGAAUACCAGUGGCGAAGGCGAGCUCCUGGCCGAUGAUUGACGCUGAGGUGCGAAAGUGUGGGGAUCAAACAGGAUUAGAUACCCUGGUAGUCCACACUGUCAACGAUGUGCACUAGGUGCUGGGGCGGAUGCUUCAGUGCCGGAGCUAACGCGGUAAGUGCACCGCCUGGGGAGUAUGCUCGCAAGGGUGAAACUCAAAGGAAUUGACGGGGGCCCGCACAAGCGG
rnacentral:rRNA from 1 species